CAGCAGUCGCCACGGGAAUACAGAGGGUGCAAGCGUUAAUCGGAAUUACUGGGCGUAAAGCGCGCGUAGGUGGUUUGUUAAGUUGGAUGUGAAAUCCCCGGGCUCAACCUGGGAACUGCAUCCAAAACUGGCAAGCUAGAGUAUGGUAGAGGGUGGUGGAAUUUCCUGUGUAGCGGUGAAAUGCGUAGAUAUAGGAAGGAACACCAGUGGCGAAGGCGACCACCUGGACUGAUACUGACACUGAGGUGCGAAAGCGUGGGGAGCAAACAGGAUUAGAUACCCCUGUAGUCCCUGUCUCUUAUAC
rnacentral:rRNA from 1 species